GACGUAGGGCGCGAGCGUUGUCCGGAUUUACUGGGCGUAAAGGGUGCGUAGGCGGGUUGGCAAGUUCGAUGUGAAAGCCCCGGGCUUAACCCGGGAAUGGCAUUGGAAACUGCUGAUCUGGAGGAUCGGAGGGGGGACUGGAAUUCUUGGUGUAGCAGUGAAAUGCGUAGAUAUCAAGAGGAACACCAGUGGCGAAGGCGAGUCCCUGGACGAUACCUGACACUGAGGCACGAAAGCCAAGGGAGCAAACAGG
rnacentral:rRNA from 1 species